GAUGAACGCUGGCGGCGUGCCUAAUACAUGCAAGUCGAGCGAAUGGAUUAAGAGCUUGCUCUUAUGAAGUUAGCGGCGGACGGGUGAGUAACACGUGGGUAACCUGCCCAUAAGACUGGGAUAACGCCGGGAAACCGGGGCCAAUACCGGAUAACAUUUUGAACCGCAUGGUUCGAAAUUGAAAGGCGGCUUAGGCUGUCACUUAUGGAUGGACCCGCGUCGCAUUAGCUAGUUGGUGAGGUAACGGCUCACCAAGGCAACGAUGCGUAGCCGACCUGAGAGGGUGAUCGGCCACACUGGGACUGAGACACGGCCCAGACUCCUACGGGAGGCAGCAGUAGGGAAUCUUCCGCAAUGGACGAAAGUCUGACGGAGCAACGCCGCGUGAGUGAUGAAGGCUUUCGGGUCGUAAAACUCUGUUGUUAGGGAAGAACAAGUGCUAGUUGAAUAAGCUGGCACCUUGACGGUACCUAACCAGAAAGCCACGGCUAACUACGUGCCAGCAGCCGCAGUAA
rnacentral:rRNA from 1 species